rnacentral:rRNA from 1 species
UUAAAAAGCUCGUAGUUGGAUUUACUGUGAGAGUAUGAUGUCCUAACGUGUUUAGAGACGCAGAAAACUCUUGCAUCCUUCUGUUACCUCCACGUGGCAUUCGCUUGCCAGUGAUUGGCUCAGAGAAUUUACCUUGAGAAAAUUAGAGUGUUUCAGGCAGGCUUAGUCGGAAUACAUUAGCAUGGAAUAAUAGAAUAGGACUCCGGUCUCGUUGUUGGUUUGAGGGACUGUAGUAAUGAUUAAUAGGGAUAGUUGGGGGCAUUAGUAUUCGGUUGUCAGAGGUGAAAUUCUCAGAUUUAUUGAAGACUAACUUAUGCGAAAGCAUUUGCCAAGGAUGUUUUCAUUAAUCAAGAACGAAAGUUAGAGGUUCGAAGGCGAUCAGAUACCGCCCUANUUCUAACCAUAAAC